GAUGAAACGCAGCGAAAUGCGAUAAGUAAUGUGAAUUGCAGAAUUCAGUGAAUCAUCGAAUCUUUGAACGCACAUUGCGCCCGUCAGUAUUCUGGCGGGCAUGCCUGUUCGAGCGUCAUUACGCCCCUCAAGUCCCCUGUGGACUUGGUGUUGGGGAUCGGCGAGGCUGGUUUUCCAGCACAGCCGUCCCUUAAAUUAAUUGGCGGUCUCGCCGUGGCCCUCCUCUGCGCAGUAGUAAAACACUCGCAACAGGAGCCCGGCGCGGUCCACUGCCGUAAAACCCCCCAACUUUUUAUAGUUGACCUCGAAUCAGGUAGGACUACCCGCUGAACUUAAGCAUAUCAAUAAGCGGAGGA
rnacentral:misc_RNA from 1 species